UACGUAGGUGGCAAGCGUUGUCCGGAUUUACUGGGUGUAAAGGGCGUGCAGCCGGGAGUGCAAGUCAGAUGUGAAAUCCCGCGGCUCAACCGCGGAACUGCAUUUGAAACUGUGCUUCUUGAGUGCUGGAGAGGCAGACGGAAUUCCUAGUGUAGCGGUGAAAUGCGUAGAUAUUAGGAGGAACACCAGUGGCGAAGGCGGUCUGCUGGACAGUAACUGACGGUGAGGCGCGAAGGCGUGGGGAGCAAACAGG
rnacentral:rRNA from 1 species